rnacentral:lncRNA from 1 species
CAGCGAGCUGUCAGAGGAUGAGAUCUCCGGAGACCCAAUCAGCCUCGCCUACACCGAUCUUUGUAAGCAAAUCUCUUUGGGAACCCACAAGACGGUGCUUUACCACGAAUUUCAGGGCUCAGGAGAAAGGAACGCUGCUGUGCUGCUCUUUCUGAGUUCUGCUGAAGCAGCUAGUGAAGAUUUUUCCUUUCUGCACUGAUUUUAAUGUGAACAUACUGAAAUGGAUAACAUUCCUGCAGCUCAGAAAUUUCAACAGCAGGACUGCCUAACGGGGGGCAGAUGGUGCCAGCGAUACUACUUUUAAAGGCUGUACAGGAAGAAUGCAGAGUGACUUUGAGGGGAUUCUGUUGCCCAGACUGGUCUGAGGUUUACACUGGCGUAAGUGCCCCUGCCAAGCGGUUCCCCCAUGAGCUCCUCUUCUCUUCCAUUUUUAUCACUUCACCUAUCCCCAUGAAAAGAGGGGGUGUAGUGGGGAAGAAAUUGGAAGUAAAGCUGAAGUAUCAGCUAGACAGUGUAAAGUUCAGGUUAGGUGGA